GAGUAAAGAUUUCGGUCGCUUUGGGAGGAGCUCGCUUACUAUCAGCUUGUUGGUAGGGUAAUGGCCUACCAAGGCUAUGACGGUUAGGGGGUGUGAGAGCAUGACCCCCAGCAUUGGCACUGAAACACUGGCCAAACACCUACGGGUGGCUGCAGUCGAGAAUCUUCCACAAUGGGGGAAACCCUGAUGGAGCGAUGCUGCGUGCGGGAUGAAGGCCUUCGGGUUGUAAACCGCUUUUGUAGGGGACGAAAUUUUUGACGGUACCCUUUCGAAUAAGAGGUUGCUAACUCUGUGCCAGCAGCAGCGGUAAUACAGAGACCUCAAGCGUUAUCCGGAUUUACUGGGCGUAAAGCGUCUGUAGGGGGUUUAUUAAGUUCCAAGUAAAAUUUCAAGGCUCAACUUUGAAUUCGCUUGGAAAACUAAUAAACUGGAGUCUAGCAGAGGUGCAUGGAACUUGUGGUGUAGGAGUGAAAUCCGUUGGUAUCACAAGGAACACCAAAGGCGAAGGCAUUGCACUGGGCUAGCACUGACCCUGAGAGACGAAAGCGUGGGGAGCAAAACGGAUUAGAUACCCGUGUAGUCCACGCCCUAAACGAUGAAUGCUAAAUGUUCGGGGAUUCGACCCCCUGGGUGUUACAGCUAACGCGUUAAGCAUUCCGCCUGGGAAGUACGGCCGCAAGGCUAAAACUCAAAGGAAUAGACGGGGAUCCGCACAAGCGGUGGAGCGUCUGGUUUAAUUCGACAGUAAGCGUGGUACCUCACCAGGGUUUGACAUCCCUUGACAGCCUUGGAAACAAGGUUUCCUUCGGGCAAGGUGACAGGUGCUGCAUGGUCGUCGUCAGUUCGUGCCGUGAGGUGUUCCGUUAAGUCGGGAAACGAACGAAACCCCUAUUGCAUGUUACAAUUUCUCAUGCAAGACUGCCCGGAUAUACUGGGAGGAAGGUGGGGAUGACGUCAGAUCUGCAUGGUCCUUAUACCCUGGGCGACACAGGCGCUACAAUGGCAGAGACAAAGGGUUGCAAAACCGCAAGGUGAAGCUAAUCCCAAAAACUUUGUCUAAGUUCGGAUUGAAGGCUGCAAUUCGCCUUCAUGAAGCUGGAAUCGCUAGUAAUCGUGAAUCAGCCACGUCACGGUGAAUAUGUUCCCGGAUCUUGUACUCACCGCCCGUCACACCAAGAGAGUUGGUAGCUCCCGAAG
rnacentral:rRNA from 1 species